CAAGAACUGAUCAUAUCGUAACGCAAAGAAAAGAAACAAACACUAGCAAGGAUUUCGACCCCACUUUUCGAUUUGGCUGAAAGGCAACUCGGCUAAAUAAAAGGAAAUACUACCAACGGCCACGAGUCAUUGGUGUAUUGUGUCCAGUAACUGCAAAAUUGAAUCGGGUCUCAUCAAUUGUUGUUGGGUGGCCAUUUAAGGUCGCCAAAGGGGAUGGCCCGAGAACAUUGGGGUUGAAAAGUUUCACAAUGUCUGGGAUGGAAUUGUAAGAUGAGGAAACUUGACGAUACUCAAUAGGGAUUUCCAAAACAGUGGAACCAUUGGCACCUAUGGCAGUCUGACAACAUGGAAAACAAAAAAAUUAUGGAAGAGAGCCUCAGUCUAAGUGACAUACCAAUUUUAAACUUAAAAAGGUUUUUUGGGAAAUACUGUGUAUGUGCCU